rnacentral:rRNA from 1 species
GGAGUUAGCCGGUGCUUCUUCUGUGAGUGAUGUCCUUCCUGCCGGUUAUUGACCCGCAGGCCUUCUUCCUCACUGAAAGUGCUUUACAACCCGAAGGCCUUCUUCACACACGCGGCAUGGCUGGAUCAGGGUUGCCCCCAUUGUCCAAUAUUCCCCACUGCUGCCUCCCGUAGGAGUCUGGGCCGUGUCUCAGUCCCAGUGUGGCUGAUCAUCCUCUCAGACCAGCUACGGAUCGUCGCCUUGGUGAGCCGUUACCUCACCAACCAGCUAAUCCGACAUAGGCUCAUCCGAUAGCGCGAGGCCCGAAGGUCCCCCGCUUUCCCCCGUAGGGCGUAUGCGGUAUUAGCCUGGGUUUCCCCAGGUUAUCCCCCGACUACCGGGGCAGAUUCCUAUGCAUUACUCACCCGUCCGCCGCUCGCCACCAGGGAGCAAGCUCCCCGUGCUGCCGCUCGACUUGCAUGUGUUAGGCCUGCCGCCAGCGUUCAAUCUGAGCCAUGAUCAAACUCUGA